rnacentral:snoRNA from 1 species
AUGCAUCUCUGACAGACCUGGAGCAGUGCUGUCUGCUGCUAAGGUUUCCAAUACAGAUACAAGAGAAGUGUCCUUAUGCUUUCUGUCUGCCUGACUGUGGCAGCCAAAAUUAAGUAAAGGAAUGGGGGG